UACGUAGGGUGCGAGCGUUAAUCGGAAUUACUGGGCGUAAAGCGUGCGCAGGCGGUGAUGUAAGACCGAUGUGAAAUCCCCGGGCUUAACCUGGGAACUGCAUUGGUGACUGCAUUGCUCGAGUAUGGCAGAGGGGGGUGGAAUUCCACGUGUAGCAGUGAAAUGCGUAGAGAUGUGGAGGAACACCGAUGGCGAAGGCAGCCCCCUGGGCCAAUACUGACGCUCAUGCACGAAAGGCGUGGGGAGCAAACAGG
rnacentral:rRNA from 1 species